rnacentral:rRNA from 1 species
UAGGGAAUCUUCGGCAAUGGGGGGAACCCUGACCGAGCAACGCCGCGUGAGUGAAGAAGGUUUUCGGAUCGUAAAGCUCUGUUGUUAAGGAAGAACGAGUGUGAGAAUGGAAAGUUCAUGCUGUGACGGUACUUAACCAGAAAGGGACGGCUAACUACGUGCCAGCAGCCGCGGUGAUACGUAGGUCCCGAGCGUUGUCCGGAUUUAUUGGGCGUAAAGCGAGCGCAGGCGGUUAGAAAAGUCUGAAGUGAAAGGCAGUGGCUCAACCAUAGGCUUGCCGACAAAACGGUUGAACUAGAGUACUGGGAAGGUGGGUGGAACUACACGAGUAGAGGUGAAAGGCGUAGAUAUGUGUAGGAAUGCCGAUGAUGAAGAUAACUCACUGGGCAGAAACGGACGCUGAAGUGCGAAAGCUAGGGGAGCAAGCAGG